rnacentral:rRNA from 1 species
GUCUCAGUUCGGAUCGUAGGCUGCAACCCGCCUGCGUGAAGUUGGAAUUGCUAGUAAUCGCGGAUCAGCAUGCCGCGGUGAAUACGUUCCCGGGCCUUGUACACACCGCCCGUCAAGCCAUGGGAGCCGGGGGUGCCUGAAGUUCGUGACCGCAAGGAGCGACCUAGGGCAAAACUGGUGACUGGGGCUAAGUCGUAACAAGGUACC